CCUCACUUUGUCCCGACAUCUCCCUUUGAGUUAACUUAAAUUUAAUUAGCGAUGGAAAUGACAACGGUCUGCUGUUCUAUAAAGCUAGCUAUCUUGCUAGCUAGUAAGAAAAGCGAGCUAAGUAUGUCGGGCUUGCCAGCUUAGCUGGCGCUAGCUACCCGGCUAGCUAGCUUGUUUGUAUGUACGUGUAAAGCAUGUGUGAGCUAAAGUCAUGUUUUUGUUUGUCUAUAGAAUGCCACGUACUACGCGUUCUAAAAAAAGUAAUAUAUCUGAGGCCAUAAAGGCUUUAGACUUUGUAGGCUUUAUAAGAAUAAGACUACGUACUCCAGCCUGUCUGUGAGAAGUUAAUGGAAACAGCACCAACAUGUGACACCACCUGUAGCUACCACCCAGCCCAACAAUUUAUUUUGGGGAAACACCAACCUUUAACACCAAUAGGUUUCGUAUUGAUUAUUUGUGGGAGGGGAGCUGUAUGACGAAUCUAAUGUCAUUGUUGAUCUUUUAGAUGCUGCAUCAAGUUACACCAACAAUGAAAAGAUGAAAAUGAAGAUGCUCAAAAUGAAAAUAAAGGCAUUGGAGGAAGAGAGGGACUUCCUCCGAACAACUAUUACCCAGCUGACUGGACAAAGAACUUCUUCAGGACCAAGUCCUAGCUCAUCUGUGGGUGACAACUUUGCCAAGCUUGACGAUCAGUGGGAUGACAGCUCUGAUUCUUCGAGCUCUGAUAGCUCUUCAUCCACAGACAGCGAAAUAGAAAAGAAAAAGAAGAACAAGGAGAAGAAAAAGAACAAAAAUAAGAAGGAAAAAAAGGAAACUAAAAAAGGGAGAGCAAAGACCCCAGAAGAUACAAGAUGGUCCUAGCAGCAUACAAAAGGAAGGGAAGUAUGGCUGCUGCAUUCCAAACCGUGGGUGUUGACAGAAACACCGUGGCCAUGAGUUGUCACCUGGCUGUUUGUUGUCUUGCUAUCCAUCUGAGUUCAUAUACAAUCUAUCUUGCCCACAUACAUUGGAUUUUACACACCUGAAACAUGUUUUUAAUUUUGGGAAUAUAAAUUGAAUGUAUAUUCAAAUUUUUUCUGUACUUUUUUUUCUGUAUAUUAGUUUGUAAAUAUCCUAAGAGACUAGUUUCAUAAUAUUUUUUAUGUAAUUAAAUGUAUUUGUGGUUCAGUGGUAUAGGUCUUUACAUAAUUGUAAAAAUCCAUGAAAGACGUUCUUCAGAGGUAAAUGAAGAGGCCUCACUUGUGGAAUAACCCCCAUACGUGUAAUAAUGAACCACAAUUACAUGUAAUUACGUGGUAGUUCCUGUGUAACUAUAGUGCUGUUACUACAUAUAAUGCCACAUUGUUCAAGGCAACAGAUAUACACAUGAUGUACAGUGUAAGCUUUUUUUAAACAUAAUUUUUCCUUUUAAUACUCUUUAGAUAUUGGGUUUGUGUGGUCUCUGGAAACGUAGGUUGCGAUUGGCGAUUAGCAGAAAUAAUAAUGUUGAGGAAAUGGAAUGGUAGUAAUUAUAUUCUUCUGCCUCAUGUUUAAGAAUGAAAACAAGUCUAUGGUGUAGUUUAAGCCGUUUGAUGUUUAACCUCUUUUGUAAUUGUUUUUUGUGCAAAAUAAAAAUAACGCACCAUGUUUACAUCUGACUUCAGAUUAUUCUUGAAUAGUAAAUUUGUCCUCCAUGAGUCAUUGUAGAUGUUACUACAUUGAAGUGCUAGACCAUGUGUACCAAAUAUAUAUUGACAAUACUUUUCUUUGCAGGAACUGCUUUUCUUUGCAGUACUGCAUAGGUUUUUUUUGUCUUAGUAACUGCAUACUACUUGUACUACAUGGUCAUUGACAUUUUAUUAACCGGUAAAAUGGUUAACAAUAUUCAUAUUACCUUGUAAUUACACUUAGCAUAAUCAAAC
ensembl:lncRNA